UUUUUAAAUGAGUUCUCAGCACUUUUCUUUCAGGAAAGGGGGGAGGAAAGGACGUCACAAGACAAAAGAGCAGGGGACUUUUAAAGUUUAAAUAGACAGGUUGGGUGCCUGAAGAAGUUUCUGCCUUUUGAGUUUUAACCCUCUGAGGAACUUUGUUUGACUUUCUUCACUGCUGACAAGCAAG